ACGGAAGGCAGCAGUGGGGAAUAUUGCACAAUGGGGGAAACCCUGAUGCAGCGACGCCACGUGUGGGAAGAAGCAUUUCGGUGUGUAAACCACUGUCGUGAGGGAAUAAUGCUUGGCCUCGGCCAAGUUGAAUGUACCUCGAAAGGAAGCACCGGCAAACUUCGUGCCAGCAGCCGCGGUAAUACGAGGGGUGCAAGCGUUGUUCGGAAUCACUGGGUGUAAAGGGAGCGCAGGCGGAGAUGCAAGCAGUCUGUACAAUACCGGGGCCCAACCCCGGACCUGCAGACUGGACUGUUUCUCUUGGAUAGUUCAGGGGCAAGCGGAAUUCCUGGUGUAGCGGUGGAAUGCGUAGAGAUCAGGAAGAACACCGAUGGCGAAGGCAGCUUGCUGGGGACUAAUCGACGCUCAUGCUCGAAAGUGCGGGUAGCAAACAGGAUUAGAUACCCUGGUA
rnacentral:rRNA from 1 species